rnacentral:rRNA from 1 species
AGAGGGUGCAAGCGUUAAUCGGAUUUACUGGGCGUAAAGCGUGCGUAGGUGGCCAAUUAAGUCAAAUGUGAAAUCCCCGAGCUUAACUUGGGAAUUGCAUUCGAUACUGGUUGGCUAGAGUAUGGGAGAGGAUGGUAGAAUUCCAGGUGUAGCGGUGAAAUGCGUAGAGAUCUGGAGGAAUACCGAUGGCGAAGGCAGCCAUCUGGCCUAAUACUGACACUGAGGCACGAAAGCAUGG